UACGGAGGGUGCGAGCGUUAAUCGGAAUUACUGGGCGUAAAGCGCGUGUAGGCGGUUUGUUAAGUCUGAUGUGAAAUCCCUGGGCUCAACCCAGGAACUGCAUCGGAUACUGGCGAACUAGAGGACAGGAGAGGAGAGUGGAAUUCCUGGUGGAGGGGUGAAAUCCGUAGAUAUCAGGAGGAACAUCGGUGGCGAAGGCGGCUCUCUGGCCUGUUCCUGACGCUCAGACGCGAAAGCGUGGGGAGCAAACAGG
rnacentral:rRNA from 1 species